rnacentral:rRNA from 1 species
GGAUACCACUUGGAAACAGGUGCUAAUACCGGAUAACAACAAUAGCUGCAUGGCUAUUGCUUAAAAGGCGGCGAAAGCUGUCGCUAAAGGAUGGACCCGCGGUGCAUUAGCUAGUUGGUAAGGUAAUGGCUUACCAAGGCGACGAUGCAUAGCCGAGUUGAGAGACUGAUCGGCCACAUUGGGACUGAGACACGGCCCAAACUCCUACGGGAGGCAGCAGUAGGGAAUCUUCCACAAUGGGCGAAAGCCUGAUGGAGCAACGCCGCGUGAGUGAAGAAGGUUUUCGGAUCGUAAAGCUCUGUUGUUGGUGAAGAAGGAUAGAGGUAGUAACUGGCCCCUAUUUGACGGUAAUCAACCAGAAAGUCACGGCUAACUACGUGCCAGCAGCCGCGGUAAUACGUAGGUGGCAAGCGUUGUCCGGAUUUAUUGGGCGUAAAGCGAGCGCAGGCGGAAAGAUAAGUCUGAUGUGAAAGCCCCCGGCUUAACCGAGGAAUUGCAUCGGAAACUGUGUUUCUUGAGUGCAGAAGAGGAGAGUGGAACUCCAUGUGUAGCGGUGGAAUGCGUAGAUAUAUGGAAGAACACCAGUGGCGAAGGCGGCUCUCUGGUCUGUAACUGACGCUGAGGCCCGAAAGCAUGGGUAGCGAACAGGAUUAGAUACCCUGGUAGUCCAUGCCGUAAACG